UACGGAGGGUGCAAGCGUUAUCCGGAUUUACUGGGUUUAAAGGGUGUGUAGGCGGGCCUUUAAGUCGGUGGUGAAAUCUCCAGGCUCAACCUGGAAACUGCCAUUGAUACUAUUGGUCUUGAAUUCUGUUGAGGUGGGCGGAAUAAGUCAUGUAGCGGUGAAAUGCAUAGAUAUGACUUAGAACACCAAUUGCGAAGGCAGCUCGCUAAACAGAUAUUGACGCUGAGGCACGAAAAGCGUGGGGGAUC
rnacentral:rRNA from 1 species